rnacentral:lncRNA from 1 species
AUGAGAAGGCACCAUCGCCUUCCUUCAAAUCCGAUAACACUUGGAAAGAGGUCAAAAGAAGAACAAAGCAUUCACAUAAAGAUGGAGUAAAAGGACAACUAGAGUCAAAAUGACUCAGGAUCUCGAACAAGCAAUCAAUAAUGGAUUGCGUUAUUACGAAAAGGGUUUAUAGAGUGGAGAUGGGCAAAGAUAAGGUUUCGCUGUCUGCCGGGAUGUUAUUACCGAAACAAAUGUCUGCCGUAUAAAAUGUGGGCUCCUAAUACUAUAAUAAAUAACAUAUUAAAAUUUCAGAUUUGUUAAAAUAUAUUUGUAUAUUAAAAGUUUGUAUUUGUAUAUUAAAAGUUAUUUAUAUAUUAAAGUAUAUUGUACUCUUAAGCUAUAUUGCAAUCGCCAAUAUAUGUGUGUCAAAUGUGCAAAACCACAUCCAACUGUGGAAUGCAAAAAAUUUGUUGAAACUCCACCAACUUGUCUCCUAUGUGGAGACCACCAUACCGCGAACUACAAAAAAUGCCCUAAUUAUAAAGAAUUGCUCAAGAAGACGGUUCCGGUACCCAGACUAAAAGAAAAUCCAAACAUUCAAUUAGUUUAUUACCCCUCUAAACAGAAUAUCCAAAAA